AUCCUCUCAGGGUUGUACCUGGAGAGGUCCCAGUACUCCACCAGUCUCGACUACGAGAGGGAGAGUCAAGCAGAGGCCUACCUGUUCCAUUCCUAGCUUGGGCAGUGGCUAGCAAGUGGAAGGCAAUCUGCUACAAGU